UACGUAGGAUGCAAGCGUUGUCCGGAAUUAUUGGGCGUAAAGAGCGCGCAGGCGGUGUAUCAAGUCAGAUGUGAAAGAGGCCGGCUUAACCGGCAAGGGUCAUUUGAAACUGAUAGACUAGAGUGCAGCAGAGGAUAGUGGAAUUCCCGGUGUAGUGGUGAAAAUGCGUAGAUAUCGGGAGGAACACCAGUGGCGAAGGCGACUAUCUGGGCUGCAACUGACGCUGAGGCGCGAAGGCUAGGGUAGCAAACAGG
rnacentral:rRNA from 1 species